rnacentral:rRNA from 1 species
AGUGAACGCUGGCGGUAGGCCUAACACAUGCAAGUCGAACGGCAGCACAGGAGAGCUUGCUCUCUGGGUGGCGAGUGGCGGACGGGUGAGGAAUACAUCGGAAUCUACUCUGUCGUGGGGGAUAACGUAGGGAAACUUACGCUAAUACCGCAUACGACCUACGGGUGAAAGCAGGGGACCUUCGGGCCUUGCGCGAUUGAAUGAGCCGAUGUCGGAUUAGCUAGUUGGCGGGGUAAAGGCCCACCAAGGCGACGAUCCGUAGCUGGUCUGAGAGGAUGAUCAGCCACACGUGAACUGAGGCACGGUCCAGACUCCUACGGGAGGCAGCAGUGGGGAAUAUUGGACAAUGGGCGCAAGCCUGAUCCAGCCAUACCGCGUGGGUGAAGAAGGCCUUCGGGUUGUAAAGCCCUUUUGUUGGGAAAGAAAUCCAGCUGGCUAAUACCCGGUUGGGAUGACGGUACCCAAAGAAUAAGCACCGGCUAACUUCGUGCCAGCCGCCGCCGUAA